rnacentral:rRNA from 1 species
CCUACGGGUGGCAGCAGUGAGGAAUAUUGGUCAAUGGCCGGAAGGCUGAACCAGCCAAGCCGCGUGAAGGACGAAGGUGCCAAGCAUUGUAAACUUCUUUUGUCAAGGGACAAACUCAGGCUCGAGAGCCUGCCCGAGGGUACUUGAAGAAAAAGCAUCGGCUACCUCCGUGCCAGCAGCCGCGGUAAUACGGAGGAUGCACGUGUUACCCGGGUUUAUUGGGUUUACAGGGUGCGUAGGCGGACUGUUAAGUCAGCGGUAAAAGCCCGGGGCUCAACCACGGCGAGCCGUUGAAACUGGCUGUCUUGGGAUGUCGAGGGGUAUGCGGAAUGCGCAGUGUAGCGGUGAAAUGCUUAGAUAUUGCGCAGAACUCCGAGUGCGAAGGCAGCAUACCGGCGGCGAUCUGACGCUGAGGCACGAAAGCGUGGGUAUCGAACAGGAUUAGAUACCCGGGUAGUC